rnacentral:rRNA from 1 species
AUUGAACGCUGGCGGCAUGCUUUACACACGCAAGUCGAACGGUAACAGGUUAAGCUGACGAGUGGCGAACGGGUGAGUAAUGCAUCGGAACGUGCCCGAUCGUGGGGGAUAACACUUCGAAAGAAGUGCUAAUACCGCAUACGAUCUGAGGAUGAAAGCGGGGGACCGUAAGGCCUCGCGCGAUCGGAGCGGCCGAUGUCAGAUUAGGUAGUUGGUGGGGUAAAGGCUCACCAAGCCGACGAUCUGUAGCUGGUCUGAGAGGACGACCAGCCACACUGGGACUGAUACCCGGCCCAGACUCCUACGGGAGGCAGCAGUGGGGAAUUUUGGACAAUGAGCGCAAGCCUGAUCCAGCAAUGCCGCGUGCAGGAAGAAGGCCUUCGGGUUGUAAGCUGCUUUUGUACGGAGCGAAAAGGCUCUCUCUAAUACAGGGGGCUCAUGACGGUACCGUAAGAAUAAGCACCGGCUAACUACGUGCCAGCCGCCGCUGUAA